UUCAAUACUGCUUUCACGAGCAGUGUGCACUUUUCCCUUAGUAAGACGUUGUGAUCCAUUAGGAAUCGAGAGAUCAUCAUACAUGUUCUCUCAAUAGGUUGCCAAUAGGCCGGCAUUGAAGUUCACAAUGACAAACAACACAAUCUUCUGGUUGGGUAUAUUGUCUUGUGAGCGUGCCGUUAUCUGAUGCAACUGCCUGAUGGAUAUUAAAGACCAUGCCACUGAUGCUUGCAUCACCCACUCUUGUAGCGGGAUAUAAUGGGGUGUGUGUCCGAUCAACAACGGUUUCAUUUGGGAUACCUUUGGGACCCGUCUUGAAACACGGACCAAGGAGUCUAUCUAGUAUGCAAGUAAAUGAGACAUAUUUAAACUUAUUUGCGUAAAAAACUUGACUGUAAUAUAAUGGGAUUACGCGUAGACAUGCAAAUGUCUGCACCUCCAUCCCGGGGUAUUUACACAACAUAUAUGGGCAACUAUAUAUAGUAAAUAUACCAUGAGCAUACUGGACAUGACCCGAAAGAUGGUGAACUAUGCCUGAUCAGGUUGAAGUCAGGGGAAACCCUGAUGGAGGACCGAAGCAAUUCUGACGUGCAAAUCG
rnacentral:rRNA from 1 species